UUUUUUUUUGUUUACAUAGUCAUGUUUUCACUGUCGCGAUAAGUUUGACUAAGGUAAACAGUACAAAAGGCCUCCGGAAAUUGUUGGAAAGUUUAUUUCAGAGGCGCAAAGUCCUGAGGAAGUUGGGAGCUGAAUUUCGUAUUGCUUCUGAAUACCGCAGCCAGUCAAAAGUUGAAUAUAUCCCUAAGAGUCUCAGUAGGUCUGGAAUUGAGGAACAGUGCCACCUUUUACUAAACUGCAUGCUGUGGGUAAUUUCCAUGUUAAAUUCUUUUUCAUGUUUUUUACUGCAAUUAUUACAAACAAACCAUAGGCAUUAUAUAGCUUGUUCCAUGUCAAGCCCUUGACACUGUUGCUGACCUGGUGUUAUUUUUACAUCUAUGUAUGUCCUAUACUUCUGAAAAAACUGAUGUUCUGGUUUCAUUGUCUCCAGAUGAGAUUACUUCUUCUUUUGGCUCUUCAUUCAGGAAUGAAUGGUUCGCUCCCACAAACCCGAUUUCGCUUACCUUGGCAAGUGAUUUUUCUGAUAACAAACAUUACCGAUGGCGUUUUAGCUGGAGCAUUUUCAUCAGUUACGUAUCAUGCAACUCGAUAUCAAGUACUCCUCUGUUACAUGGCUUUGACGGUGAGAAGGUUCAGGUGCCGAACCUGGUCUGGUAUAGCAUUACUCUACAGUGAACCUAGGAUGGUUUGGUUAAGAUUCAUGUUAAUAGUUGACAUAUGGUUCGCUACCAGUGUUUGCACCUCUGGAAUUUGGUGGAUCCCUCAACUGAGAAGUGGAGCUGCUGUGUUCCAUUCAGGAUUUUAUCACGUCACUAGCACAACUUGGGUUUGACCACUUUGUCGGAUUUUAUCACAGCCAAUUGCAUUUUGGAUCAAGUCAAUGGACAUAUUGAAAAAUGGGAACAAAAUACAGUUAUGAGCCAAAACAGCCAGAUCAAAUGCAGGAUCAAACUUUCAGUUUCAUAGCUCUACUAAGAGAAGCAUUUACCAAGUCAUAGAAGUUCUUCAGAUGCAUUUUUAAAUUAAUUGACUGAAUUCUGGAAAGGAGAAACAGAAUGGUACAUCAUUUACCAUCAUCAGCCUUUUAGCAGGAGUAUGACUGUGCCCGUGGCACUGAACAUUUUCACACGCAAAUUUCAGGAAACAUGCUCAUAGGAAAUGCACCGGAACAACAUAGAUGGUCUCUUUGAAAAUUUAGUCAAGGUCAAUGGAAAACAACAAAUAUGCUCUACAGCCAGCCUACUCAACAGCAGUACCCCCCCAGUCUUUUACAUUCAUCACCAAGAGUUAAGCAAACAUUCAACAUUGAGUAGUAGAGAAUAGAGAAUGUGAAUAUCUGAUCAUGAUUCUACCUUCAGAGAGUGGGAAAAGGAAAGCUAGUUGAUUCAAGCUUCAUCUACAGAGACUGCAGUAUUAUGCAUAGCGCAGAUGUUGAAAAAUUGCAACCACCAGCACGGACUAGAGUCCCUGGAAGAAUGGCGGUUCAAUAGCAUCAUCGGGCUUCGGCGCCAGAAAGAUUGCAUGAGGAAGAAGGGUCUCCUUCAGGGUAUGCCUAACCAACGGUGUCUCCUCACGAAACUGAAACUUCUGAAGCAAAUUCCCAAUCCUGUCACAGUGUAACACCAGCUUGUUCUCGCACUCGAUCAGCACAUCCCCUUCUGGUGAGACAACACGUGGAAACCAGUCUAUGUACUGCAAAGCUGGUAUCCGCGGCACUUGAAUUGUAAUCCGGCGUAUCUGGACCCAAAUGUCGUUGCUGUAAUCCUCUAGACGCCAGAGCUGUAGCGUUGGCUUGCCGUUCUUGGAGACGGACAUGGCGAGCUUGUGAUCCAUUUCAAGCAGUUGCAUCCUUCCGUUUGUAAUGGGAUUGGGAGCGGUCUUCCAGCUGAACACCUCGGCCUCUGUGUCGAACACCAGAAUGUGGUGUCCUUGGCGCUCCUGCGGCGGCCAGUGCAAGCUGCCGCGGAGCUGGACGGGCGGGGAGAGCGAGGCAGGAUCCAGCCCGAUGUCCAACCCCACGUCCUCGGUCGCCGCCGGCGAGAUGGGGCACCCGAUGCUCCUGGCCUCCUGAGCGCCCACCGUGAGAACGUAGUAGCAAGUCGAUGCCUCCUCAUCAUCUUUGCCUGUGUGGUACAGCACACGGUACUCGCCGGAGGAGACGUGCUCGUAGAGCCCAAUCACGUCGCAGUCUCUGAGGUCCGGGAGGGCAGCCCACUGGCGCGUGGCGGGGUUGCAGACGUACCAGCUGUUGAUGAAGGAGACGAGGAGAAGGCCGUCGAUGGAGGCGUGGACCAUGAGCCGGGGAUCGUGGCCGCCGCCGUCGCCGUCCAUCUCGCCGUAGUGGAUAUUGUCCUUGCUGAAGACGAAGAUGGGGGGAGGUUCGAAACCUUCGUCGUUCGCGAUGUCAUUGUGGUACUCGUUGUCGGUGAACCGGAAGAUGGGGCGUAGCGUGUCGGAGCGGAGGUCGAGGGCCUCGACGCAGUAGUCCCUGAGCUGGAUGUAGCGGUCGGGGCAGGCGUUGCGGCCGAAGCAGAUGAGCGGCUGCGGCGGGUGGAGGAGGUGGACGGCGGCGAGGAGGGGACGGUAGGACGUGACGUCGCGCAAGACCGUGCAGACCGAGCGGAGGCGCAGGAUCGACCUCGCAGGAAGGCGGCGGAAGAUCUCAAUGAUGACGCGCGGGGGAGAGUCGCGGAAGAAGGCGGCGGCGUCGGCCUGCCUCGGCUCCGGUUCCAGCGCCGCCGGCUCCGCCAUCCUCGGGGCCUCCUCCGCGUACCGGGUGGUUGGGUCGGUCGCAACUGCUCCACCGACACCAGCAACUCGUCCCUGCGAAACGCAAACGCGGCGGUGGGGUAACCGUCACCCGUCAGUUUGGCGGCCGGCGACGCUGCGCUGCGUGAUUCGAAGACGCGAGGAAGAAGGGGACAAAUCGGGAUCCCGAUCGCCAAAGCACGCGGAAACUCCAUGGGUGGGUGAGUCGAGAGCUCACCUCUUCUCGUUGCUCCGCCGCGCCUGCUUCUGGUUCCUCCCACCGUUUCGGUUUCCUCCCCCUGGCCGCUGCGCCAAAACCCACAAGACGAAACGGCGAUGCAGGUGGGGUUAGUUAUACACCUGGCGUUUGACAGCUGCCGCCGGCGUGGAUGGUGGGCCCGAGCCUGGGCGCCCUGGACGGUUACUCAGCCGAAUCGGCACGACAACACACACCACCACGGGCUCUGCGUUUUUUGACUGGUGUCCAUGAAAAAUUGGUUGGUUUUCAGUGUUGGGCUCUUAUUUCCGUGACCGCUGAGAAAAACUGAUCACACGUACUGUAAUUCUUAAGCCAUAUCGUUAGUAUGGAUUACGUUCCUAUCUAAAAAUGUGUACUUAUAUUUUAAAAAAUAUAGGCAAUGCAUCAUUGUACGCUCUAGCGUUGACGUGCAUUGCGUAUAUACUACUACCUGUCAUGAGAAACCUUCAAUUUCACUUGGUCAUGGCAAUACGCACAUAGAUUGGGUCGCAAGCUGCAGCUUCAGCCUGGAGAUUAGAUUUGUGCUACAAAAAAAAUUCAGAAUCCUGAAUGUUGCUGGGAGAGUGCGAGUGUUUGUUUUUUCUCAAGUGGUGACGAAUUCAUCACUCAUCAGGCUGUGUCAUGGUAUCUAUCUGGCUGAUCCGCAGGGCUACUAUGUUUCUGGCCGUUAACAGAAGCCAGGCCCACUUUAAAACCUUCACUAGAUUUUUUGGGUGCGUUUGGUUCCCUUGGCUUAUUUUUAGCACGUGUCACGUCGAAUGUUUAGAUACUACUUAGAAGUAUUAAACGUAGACUAUUUACAAAACCCAUUACAUAAGUGGAGGCUAAACGGCGAGACGAAUCUAUUAAGCCUAAUUAAUCCAUCAUUAGCAAAUGUUUACUGUAGCAACACAUUGUCAAAUCAUGGACUAAUUAGGUUUAAUAGAUUCGUCUCGCCGUUUAGCCUCCACUUAUGUAAUGGGUUUUGUAAAUAGUCUACGUUUAAUACUUCUAAUUAGUAUCUAAACAUUUGAUGUGAUGGGUGCUAAAAAUAAGCAUCCGGAACCAGGCCUUUAUUUCCCCACCUGACAAUGGGCCGGCCGUACUCCAUCGUCACUGAUUUGCACGGGAAAGAAACGCCACGCGGCUAACGGAUUCUAGAAUGCUCUCCGGUUUCUACAGAAACACCGGCCGCCGCGACGCGCCCACCGCCGUCGGGUGUCAAUCGGCGAGGGACGAGAGAUGGGAUCGGCCAUGGCGGGGGAUGUUGGGCAACAAAAUGCAUUAUAGUGAUGACUAAGGCCCAAACAAAAGAUGGACGUACGUACGUCGGGCUCGUCAAUUGCACAAAAUGGGCUUGCAUACAAUGGGCCCGAUCCAAUUAGCUCUAUGGGCCAGCCCUUCGGGUAUUGUCGCUUUGUUUAAAAAAAAAAGCGAGGGGGAGCUGCCCCCACCAUUUUUCAUUAAGAGGAAGCGACUUCGACUCCUGGCCACGGAAAAACUCCCAAACCCUAACUGCGUCAGCGGGAGGGAUUUUUAUUGUGCAGCACCCAGGGUUCAAGUCUUGGGUGGCACCUCUAGAUGUCCUACCACUGAGCUACAAGCUCAUCUACGUCCCUUUGUUUCAAUGUCCCAGACAAUAAUAAGGAAAUGUUCAGGUCAUCCGGACACUGGAUGGGGAAUGUGAAACGACAAUGAUCAAAAUUUCCCUACAUCUGUGGCUCAUACUCAGAAUUUAGGAAAAAAAUUGUAUUACGUUUGAAGAUUUUGUAGUACUUUUCUCUGGUGUCUCAAAGCUUGGAACUGCUGAGUUUAUAUUGUUUGAAUAUCAGAUGGCUGGGAGUAAUACUGUAGAUGUAUUUGUGACCUUGAAUAUGGUACCCAUUGCCUGGGAGCAAUUUGGUCAUGCGGCACUCUCAGGUGCCCGUGCCAGCUAUUUGCUUCUUCUGAAUUUCAUAAAUGUCAGGCAUCAUCUUCUUGCUGAUUUUUUUGCAUAAUCAAUGUAUCGUUAAAACUUUUAUUUGGUUCUCGUUGACUUGGCAAGUGUAAGGAGUUACCAUUUACUAGUGGUAGUGCUUGAUGUAUAUUUUUCAUACUGAUUUGAUGAUAUAUUGGUUCUUGAAAGUUGAUUUGUGCAUCAGACAUGUUGUCAGAACUGAAGAUCAUCAUAAAUGGAAUUGCCUCAUUUGACAGAAAACUAAUCUUAGAUAUCAUCGAUCAAUACAUUUAUGCAUUUUGAGUUUGGAAGGAGCAUCAGUUUUGUGAUUUUUAUUGUUUACAUACAGUCGUGUUUCACUGCAGCUAUAAGUUUGACUAAGGUCAACGGUGCAAAAGGCCUCCAGAAAUUGUUGGACAGUUUAUGUCAGAGAGGCAAAGUCCUGAGGAAGUUGGGAGCUGAAUUUCGCACUGCUUCUGAAUACCGCAGCGAGUCAAAACUUGCAUAUAUCUCUGGAGUUUUAGUAGGUCUGAAUUUGAGGAACAGAGCUACCUUUUGCUAAAAUGCAUGCUGCGGAUAAUUUCUAUGUGAAAUUCUUAAGGUUUUUGGACUGCAAUUAUUACAAACAAACCAUAGGCAUUAUAUAAUUUUUUUAUAUCAAGUCCUUGCUAUUGUUGUAGACUUGGUGUUAUUUUGGGUUACAUCCCUGUGUGUCUUAUACUUCUGAAAAUGGUAUUCGUAUUUCAUUAAUUCCAGAUGAGAUUAUUUUCUUUUUUUUUGCUCUCCAUUCGAGAAGUGUUGGCGAACCUGGUCUGGUAUGGCAUUACUCUACAGUGAGCCUGGGAUGGGUAGGCUAAUAUUCAUGUUGAUAGUUGACAUAAGGUUUACUACCAAUGCUUGUACCCGUGUAUAAUUUUGGUGGAUCCCUCUAACUGAGAAGUGGAUAUGCUUCUGGUCUGUUCCAUUCAGGAUUUUACACUAGCACAACAUGGGAUUGAACAGAAUGUAGGAUUUUAUCCUAGCCAAUUGCAUUUUACAUCAAGUCGAUGUCAUACCCAAAAAUGGGAAGAAUGUAGUUUUUAGCCAAAACAUCCAGAUCAAAUUCAGUAUCAAACUUUCAGUUCCACAUUUCUACUAACAUAGAAGCAUUUCCCAAGUCAUAGAAGUUCUUCAGAUGCACUAUUAGAUUAGUUGCCUGAAUUCUGGAGAGGAAUACCAUAAUGAUAAAACAGUUACCAUCAUCAGUCUUUUAGUAGGAUAACUUAGCACUGAACCUUUUGACACGCAAAUUUCAGGAAACAUGCAUAUAGGAAAUGCAUCAGAACAAAAUAUAGAUGUUUUCUUUGAAAAUUUAGUCAAGCUAGUUGAUUCAAGCUUCAUCUACAGAGACUGCGGUAUUAUGCAUAGCCGAGAUGUUUAAAAAUUGCAACCACCAGCAUGGACUAGAGCCCCUGGAAGAAUGGCGGUUCAAUAGCAUCAUCGGGCUUCGGCGCCAGAAAGAUUGCAUGAGGAAGAAGAGUCUCCUUCAGGGUAUGCCUAACCAACGGUGGCUCCUCACGAAACUGAAACUUCUGAAGCAAAUUCCCAAUCCUGUCACAGUGCAAUACCAGCUUGUUCUCGCACUCGAUCAGCACAUCCCCUUCUGGUGAGACAACACGUGGAAACCAGUCUGUGUUAUGCAAAGCUGGUAUCCGCGGCACUUGAAUUGUAAUCCGGCGUAUCUGGACCCAAAUGUCGUUGUUGUAAUCCUCUAGACGCCAGAGCUGUAGCGUUGGCUUGCCGUUCUUGGAGACGGACAUGGCGAGCUUGUGAUCCAUUUCAAGCAGUUGCAUCCUUCCGUUUGUAAUGGGAUUGGGAGCGGUCUUCCAGCUGAACACCUCGGCCUCUGUGUCGAACACCAGAAUGUGGUGUCCUUGGCGCUCCUGCGGCGGCCAGUGCAAGCUGCCGCGGAGCUGGACGGGCGGGGAGAGCGAGGCAGGAUCCAGCCCGAUGUCCAACCCCAGGUCCUCGGUCGCCGCCGGCGAGAUGGGGCACCCGAUGCUCCUGGCCUCCUGAGCGCCCACCGUGAGAACGCAGUAGCAAGUUGAGGCCUCCUCCUCAUCUUUGCCUGUGUGGUACAACACACGGUACUCGCCGGAGGAGACGUGCUCGUAGAGCCCAAUCACGUCGAAGUCUCUGAGGUCCGGGAGGGCAGCCCACUGGCGCGUGGCGGGGUUGCAGACGUACCAGAUGUUGAUGAAGGAGACGAGGAGGAGGCCGUUGAUGGAGGCGUGGACCAUGAGCCGGGGAUCGUGGCCGCCGUCGUCGCUCUCCACCUCGCCGUAGUGGAUUUGGUCCUUGCUGGUGACGAUGAUGGGGAGAGCAUCGACACCUUCGGCGUUCGCGAUGUAAUCGUAGUACUCGUUGUCGGUGAACCGGAAGAUGGGGCGUAGCGUGUCGGAGUGGAGGUCGAGGGCCUCGACGCAGUAGUCCCUGAGCUGGAUGUAGCGGUCUGGGCAGGCGUUGAGGCGGAAGCAGAUGAGCGGCUGCGGCGGGUGGAGGAGUUGGACGGCGGCGAGGAGGGCCCGGUUGGACGCGACGUCGCGCAAGACCGUGCAGACCGAGCGGAGGCGCAGGACCGACCUCGCAGGCAGGCGGCGGAAGAUCUCAGUGAUGACGCGCGGGGGAGAGUCGCGGAAGAAGGCGACGGCGUCGGCCUGCCUCGGUUCCGGCUCCGGCGCCUGCUCCGCCAUUCUCUCGGGGCCUUCUCCACGGUCCACGCGCCGGGCGGUAGGGUCGCAACUGCUCCACCGACACCAGCAACUCCUUCCUGCGAAACGCAAACGCGGCGGCCAACGACGCUGCGCUGGCGCUGCGUGAUUCGAUGACGCGAGGAAGAAGGGGGCGAAAUCGGGAACCCGAACGGCAAAGCACGCGGAAGAAGGACGAACUCCAUGGGUGGGUGAUUCGAGAGCUCACCUCUUCGCGGCUUCGCCGCGCCUGCUUCUGCUUCCCUUCGUCUCGGUUUCGUCCCCCUGGUCGCUGCGCCAAAACCCACAAGACGAAAUGGCGAUGCGGUUGGUUAGUCAGUUAUAAACCUGGCGUUUGACAGCUGCCGCCGGCGUGGAUUUGCACGGUGGGCCCGAGCCUGGGCCUGGACGGUUACUCUGCCGAACCGGCACGGCAAAACACACACACACACACACACCCACCAACACCACCCAACGUGCUCUGCGUUUUUGAGUGGUGCCUAUGAAAACUGGUUGGUUUUCUGUGUUUGGUUGGGCUCUUGUUUCCCUGACCUGUUCUUUUUAGAACACGAGCUUCAUUACUCAAAUAGCAGGAUUGCAAUCGUCAUUCAGGAUAUCACGUACCGGAAGGGGUACUAUAUCUAGCCACUCACCCCGGACCAGUGAACGAGAGACCUGUUCGGUACAAAGAUUUGCUGCCCUAUUGCAUGAUCUAGGACUGAAACACAAAUUUUAAAACCAGGACAACUCAUGCCAAGCUCCUCUAUCUCCAUGAGAAUCUGGGAGAUCUCAGACUUUUUGCAUUUUUAGAUUCUUCCAUAAGUCCACUAGUUGUUUCCGUGACCGCUGAGAAAAACUGAUUACAUGUGAUUGUUAAACCGAGCGUAUCCUUAGUAAGGAGUACGAUGCCUAUCUAAAAAUGUACUAGUUAAAAAAAAUACAGGAAAAGCAUGAUUGUACGCUCUAGCAAUGACGUGCAUUGCCUAGAUACUAUCUAUGACGAGAAAUCUUCUCUUUGACCUGGUCAUGGCAAUACGCUACGAGGGGACAUGGAUUGGAUUUGCAAAUAUUCUUGUUGUUAUUGAUGGAACUCACUACCAUGCACGAUAGCAAAGCUGCAACGUCAGCAUUUGGACAAUUCAGAUAUUCCAUGUUGAAAAUCUAGGGCUUGAUUCGUUUCAAAAGGUCGAGUCAGCUUGUUUGGCUCACAAUCAAGCAUUGUUCAACAUGAAUAUUAAGAUCAAUGUGAAAAUAUAACCAUACCAGCAAUAUAUAAAAUUAUAUGUCCAAUGACAUUAUGGAAAUCAAUAAGUCAAUAAACUAGGACAAUAUAGAUGUUUGGAGAUUCAAAAUAAACUUACUAGUACUAGAUUAGACUUAUAUAUAAAAAAGUUUGACACAAUCAUAUUUAUUGAGGAGAAUGAGCAAAUUGAACGGCUCAUGAGUGUCUCAUGAGGAGUCUCGUUAAAAAAAACAAUUUAAAAUUAAUACUUGGCUUAAUUUGUUUAAAAAAUGGAGAUGAGCUAAACUCAUCCUAACCUAUGAAUCAGCGCACGCCACUUUCAGGGAGUAUCAGGUGCUCUACCAACAGCGCGCUGACAUCGGAUGCGAAAGGAGCUACUCGUACUACAUCCUCAUGGUGGGCUCUCAGCAGCCUAGGAGCAUCCGAGGCAGCACGUCGUCGGCUCCCAUGGUCGAAGCAGUGUCCAGGGGGCUGGUGGGCGCGGGUGCCAUGCCGCCCGUCCUUCACGGCAGCCUGCACUGUCCGCCGCACUGGUUCCAGGAGCACAACAACAUACUGCUGUCGAGGCGGAGGAGUUCAGAUGGAUGAGACGUCCCAUGGUACAUAACAACAAAUUCCUAUUCUAGACGGAGGGCAGACUUGGCUUGUCCCGCUGCGAUCAAAGUGAGCGGAUGGUUGAUCUCUGGAUCAAGCAGGAUUACGACAAAAAUGGCUCCGCAAGUUUCAGAUUGAGUUGCCGGAUGUCAACGGUGUUGCAAAGAUAUACCAAUGGAUGUUACCAUUGUGUCUCAAGAGCGAGAUAUGCUUGUGGAGUUUGCGAACAUGGUGCUCCAUUGCGACAACAGGAGACUCAAGAGGAAGAUAUGCUUGUGGAGUUCGUGGACAUGGUACAUUGCAACCACAAGGGAAAAGUACUGCGCACUUUUAGUCUUGGUGGCCCCUUCAUCUUGUUUACAUGACAUAUGCUCAAAGAAAGUCUUGUCCCACGUCUAUUUCUUACGAUGUGAGAAGGAUGCAAUGCUGAUACAAUGAGCUAACUACAGUCCUUUUCAUAGUAGUGCUGUCCCUUCAUACAUUCCGUCAGAUAAAGAAUAGGGUCAUUGUUGUCGCACUACCUUUCUGCAAAGCUAUUAAGCAAAAGGUUGAACUCACUAUGUGUUUGUUGUUGAUUUUUUUACAUCAAACUAUUUGUCUUAUCAAUGGCACAACACUAUAGAAGAGGACACCAGUUCUUUUAAGUGAAUAGUAAUUUCUGCAUUAUUUUGUUAUUGUCUUAGACUGUAUCACGUUCAUGGUUUUAUUGCUAUUAAGAAUUCAGUCUUACAAUUGAAGGUUUCAAUGGAAAAUUGCAUUAUCUAUUUUGUCAAAUCUUGAGAUCCAGAAUUGAUGUCACCCUUUGUUUGAUGUUGUUGUAUAGGGAGUUUUAUGUUACUUGAUUCCACUUCUUAGUUUUGUUUAUCACUGCAUUUAUUAUUACUCGUUACUACGAUAAAUUGUUUAAUGCAAAAUUAGUAAACUAAAUUAGCUAUACGAACCCGCGUGCCAAACUAUCGCUAGGGAUACAUGCUAUAAUUAUAUAGAAAAUGGCCAUGGGUGAAGCAUAUACGAUUUGGUACAAAUGGAAAUAAUGCAAAGAUCAAAUGAGAUAUUAUUGAAGACUACUUGGACUUCUAAAUUGGAUUGUAGCAUGGCCAAACCUUCAUCAAGACGAUGGAGAUACAUAUACUAUUAAGUGUGGAUAGAUAAAAUAUAAAAUUCACAAUUUUUUUUGACAUAAUGAUGACAUUACUUGUGCAAUUUUGUUGGAUCUUUUUAUGCACAUGGCUCGUCUUGAUAUGAUCUACAAGUGUUGUCGCGGAGGGUGGGAGACCGGAAGGCGGAGGGUGGACGGUGGAGGCUGGAAGACAGUGACUUGUUUAAAACAAUAUUUUUAGGUUUAGAAAGAGAGAGAAAGAAGUUAAAAUGUUGAUUUUGCCCAUGGAUCCACCGGUCAGUUCUUUCCUUUUUCAUCUCUUCCUUUCUCUUCUAUCUUCUUCCUCUCACUGCCUGUCUAACCCAUGGCCAUGUCAAACCACAGCUCGGCGCGGUGGCGUGCAACGGAGAGGAGAUGGAGGGUAGCGGGCCGGGAUGAGCGGGGCGCUCGCAGUGGCAGCAGAGCAGGUUCCAAACCUGACGCAAGCAGACGGGGCACAAGUAGGUUCCACCGGAAUCCAGCGCUAGCACCAGAAUCCAUGAAAACCGCGCGUCAAGGCUGGCGGCUAUGGCCCCAUGUGACGCCGCCACCGCUCCAACGCACGGGGUGCUGUCGUGGCCCAUGCCUGGAUGCGUUGAAUGCCGCGCUCCUGGCUGCGCCCUUGGGGCCACAGGCGGCGGCAAGUGCGCCCCUGGCCCGAUGCCGCGCUCCACCCAACCUUGCCUCAUCAAGCAGCCGCGCACCGCGCCGUUGCCAGAGGUCGCCCCGUGCCACACCAGAUCCAUGCGCUACCGAGUGGGCCCAAGCCCGACGCAGCAAAACGGAGGGAGGAAGGAAAAGAAUCUAACCUGGGGUAAAAAUGACAUUUUAUCAUGUUUCUCUCUCCUCCUUAGCUUAAAAAUAAUAUUAUUUAAUCGAGGCGGUGUCUUCCAGCAAAUUUGCAUCAAAUGGUAGUGUCUACCAGCAUAGUCCGUUUUGAAUGGUGUCUCUCAGCAAAUCGACAUGACUUUCAGUGUCAUGUAGCAAAUUUUGCCUUAUAUGUGUUGUGUAGUGCACGCAGCACGCUAGCACACAUGCUCAUUAGGACUGGACCAGAUGGUGGUGUAGUCCCUGAAGCACCGAUUCAGGAAGUUAAAGUAACAUAUAUAUUCUGUUAAUAUCACAAAACAACAUGCGGUAUUUUGGCAUGCUAGCAUACAUCUGAGACUGAGAUUUUUUUUUUGAAUUUAGUUAGGCAGCGUCGGUAAUUUUUCCACAGCCAGCUCCGUAGGCUCGGUCUCGAUAAAAAACCGCCAGAAAAAAAUCUGGUUUUUGUCAGGUGUACGGCUGGUUCAGCGCUAAAACCGGCAGUGAAUCACGACAUUCACCGUCACGGAUUAGGAGGGUGAUGACGUACGAAAAAACAUGGAGGAGCCUUACUCAGAAUAAUAAAAUAAAGAUUUUUACAAAACAUGUAACUGGUAUGAACAAAUACACAAUACUAGGACAUGAACUUUUGUGCUGUCAUUUGACAAGGAAUUUCCCCUUGUUUAUGGUGUGUGCCCUUUGGUUGCCCGCAAUUGGUUUUGUGCUUGAAUGUGCAAGACACUCAAUGCAUAAUAGUUUCACGUUGAGGAGCACAUGCGGUGUUCUCUCUUGUAAACGAUGAUGGUGAAUUGGUUUUUAUCUGAAGAUGAGGUCACGAGGUUGAGGUUCCAUUGCAGUCUAUUAUUCUGAAUUGGAAUGACCUGCACAAGUAAUUCUUACUAGUCAGUGCAACGAGAUCAGAUUGUUUGCCUGUUAUUAAAUGGAAGUUUCAUACUUCAGAAGUUCAGAUCAACACUGUGCAGAGUCGAUCUUUUUCUCCUUUUGCAUACUUAACAAGUUGAUUUUUGUCAUGAGAAGUCAAUAUUGGACUAAUUGCAUUUUUAACUGGGGUUCAUACUUUCACCGUGAUUAUUCAUUGUAUGAGAAAAUCGGUCAUGGCGGUGCGCUACAGUGAACUUGAACCGUCAGUAUUCCUGCUGAUGCUGACAAAGAAGUCACACACUCGUUUUGCAAGUUGCAGGUUCAGAAUUUGGAGAGCUCUGUAAUGUAUUGUGUUGUAUUAUCAGUUCUGUUUUAAGUAAUCGUAUCCCAUGGAAGUUAGCUUUGUGUAACCAAAGAUUACCCUGAACCCUCUGACCAUAUGUGCGAAUGUGCAAUGUUACCGAGUGAAUUUCUGACUUCUGACUUUUUCAGUGAGGAGGAUCGGAGGAACCUCAUAUUUUGUUUGGCAGUCCUACCUAUUUUUGAUCCAUGAAGGGCGUGAUUGGUUGCCCGCCUCCCACCGUCCGCUGCAUGAUCCCGAAGCGUCCCGUGCACUCUCGCGUGUUCGGUUGCUCUCCCGGAACCGAAACGGCGCACCCCCCGUUCCUUUCCCCCACUCCAUCCCGCAUCUCCCCCUCCGCCCAGAGGGCUCCUUCGCUCACGAGCCGGGAUGGAGCGAUGCUGGUGGGAAGAUUUGGGCGGAGCGCGGGAGAUGGCGCCGUACCGGGGCUAAAGGCGCGGGAGGUUACGGUGACCUCCCAUCCUUGCCCCACUUUCUUCGCUCCCCUCCUCCACGGUGCGCCUUCUCCUCUCCCUCCUCCUCCUCGACCUCGGUUCGCCGGUGGAUCGAGGUACCCCGGCGGCGCCCUGUGCCCCCGCCGGUGCUGCGACGGUACAUCUCCCCCUCCUCUUUACGCUGCUUCAUCCCCUCUCCCCCGCUGAUCUGUCGAUUCGUAUUUUUUUGGUUGAUGUCGAUGAACCCUAGGUUGUUGUUCUGUCAGAUCCAUGCGCUCCUUUUGUGGAUUUAAGGUUGUGAUGAACCCUAGGUACUUUUGUGAUGCAGAUCUAUGGUUCUCACAUUUGUAGAGGUCGAUCUGAAUUUUUUUUGGUUCUUGUACCAUCCUCCCGGUGGGUCGAGGUCCUCCGGCGGCACCCUGUGCCUCCGCCGGUCCUGCGACGGUACAUUUUGGUUGGUGUCAAUGAAUUCUAGGUUGUUUCUGAUACGGAUCUAUAGUUGUUCUGCAUCUGCAUUUAUGGUUUUCAUGAACCCUAUGUUGGUUCUUAUGCGGAUCUAUGGUUGUCAUGUAUAUUUGUCGAUCUGAUUUCUUGUGUCCUUGGACCAUGCCUUACUCCUUUGCAACCAAUCACGCGCGUAGUACUGAGCUGAGCAAAGUGCCUAGGUCGAUGAUGAAUCCUUGCCGCCGGAGGAGCACCUUCGGGUGUGGCAGACACGUCUAGGAUAACAUGUAGCGGAGAAUGUUUGCUUGCUUAACAACAUGACCCCAAGUUCUUGUACUGAGCUCUAAUGAACACUGCAUUGUAUUCUUAGACAUGGACUUGCAAGGUAGGCGUCGGGCUGCGGCUGCUCUUGUUGCUGCUGUUGCUGCAUGGUUUUUCUUGUGGUUUAGAAGGAGAAGUGAGGAUGCUCGAUCUAUUACCUAUGGACCCAUGGCAGAGAGGGACAGAGAGAGGAAUAGCAACCUCAGAUUCAUAAAACCAUUGUGUCAACCUGCUAAGGAUGAGAAGGGCACCUUUUUUCCAACUGUGUGACCUGUUUCGGUCUAGAGAGUUGGUUCUGGAUAGCAUCCAUGCCACUGUUGAAGAACAAGUAGCAAUGUUCUUGCAUGUAGUGGGACACAACCAAAGGUUCAGGAUCAUUAACAUGACAUUUAGGAGGUCACCUGAAACUAUAAGUAGGUUCUUUCAUCAAGUCUUAUAUGCAGCUGGUGAGUUGAGAAAUGAGUUGAUUGUUCCACCAUCCACUAGUGUCCAUCCUAGGAUCCUUGGCAGCAGGAGAUGGAACUCAUAUUUCAAGGUUGGUGGCCCUUUCCUAAUUGCAAACCAACUGACCUUACCCAUAUGGUAGCAACCUGUUAAUAUUGCUUUUUAUUUUUAGGACUGCAUAGGAGCAAUUAAUGGGACACAUGUCUUUGAAGAUGCAAGCUGCCUUUAGAGGCAGGAAGCACACCAUCACUCAAAAUGUACUGGCAGCGGACUUUGAUCUUAGGUUCACAUAUGUGCUUGCUGGUUGGGAGGGAUAUGCACAUGAUGCUCUAAUUUUAUCAGAUGCUCUUGAAAGAGCAGAUGGUCUUACAGUCCCACAAGGUACCAUAACUCACAUACACACAUGCCAAUAAUACUUGCACACACUAAACUGAUAAACCAUCUCCAUUUGUUACAUUGUCUAGGGAAAUUCUAUCUUGUGGAUGCUGGAUAUGCAUCUAGGUCUGGGUUCCUGCCGCCAUAUCGUGGUACAAGGUACCACUUGAGGAAGUUUGGUUCAAAUAGGCUACAAAAUUAAAGAGAGUUGUUUAACCUGAGGCAUUCUUCUCUUAGGGUGACAAUAGAGAGGGCCUUUGGUGCUCUAAAGAAUAGAUUCAGAAUCUUUGAUAACAAGCCUUUCCAUCAUUACAAAACCAAAGUCAAGUUGGUUCUUGCCUGUUGUAUUCUGCACAAUUGGAUACUUAGGCAUGGACAAGAUGAACAUGUCCCCACUGAAGCUUCUUGGACUCCUAACUCCACUGAUACCCCCCCUGAGCCAGAACAUAGUCCUGACAAUGGAACCUGGGCACAACAAAGGGAUGCAUGGGCUGCACAAAUGUGGCAGAAUAGGGGAGCUUCUAGACUUUAAUUCCACUCAACUACUUGGAGUCAUGUCCUGUUAAGUAUCAUUGAUGAAUUUGUAAUAUGUUCUGAGAUCUUGGUACUUUGCUAUGAUGUGUACCUGCAAUCAUGAACAAUAUGCAUGGUAUGAUAUUUGCAUGCAGUAUUUUCUGUGCUGUUUGAUUUCUAAGUGCUUUGGUAUUUUUUUUUCUGAUGGUAUGAUGGUUAGGACAUGACUGUGAUGGGUGAGGAUGUUGUUGGUGUUGUCAAUGAGGCAGGGGCCGAGGGUGGGGUGGCUGCUAUGGAGGAAGGGAACCUAGCAGCCCCUCCACCCAAUGGAGCCCAGCCUGGGGGGCCCAAUGCAAUGGACCAGUGUUCAGUCAGCCUUCAUGCUUAGGAGGUUUCAUGAUCUGGUUGGGCAAGGGGUCAAAACUGACAAAGGCUUCAAGGAAGUGCAUGUUAGGCAAGUUGCUAGGAUGGUUUCUGAUUUUGCUGAAGUCAAUGUCACCACCAACCAAAUUUAUAACCACCUGCGCAAAGGGAGGCAGAGGUGGGUUAAGAUUGCUAGGCUCAAGGAUCUUAGUGGUGCUCUCUGGAAUGAGGACCAUCAUAUGAUAGUCCUUGAGGAGGAGCAUCUGAUAGGGCACACUAAAGUUAGGCCACAACUUAAAUAUAUCUCACUGUUAUGGUUAAUAGUUACCCUUUUCUCUAACUGUUGCACAACCUUUUUGCCCAACUAGGAUCAUCCUUCUGAUGCCAAGUUUUUGAACACCCCAAUUGAGAACUAUGUCCAAAUGGAGGCCAUUUCUGGGUCUAGUCAGGCUACUGGUAGGUUUGCCAUGGGUUCCAAUGAACCUUUAGGUGUACCAACUGACCUUGGCCACCUUGAGGGGGGAGAUGUUAGAUCAGAGACAAUUAAUUUAGAUGGGAAUGAGGGUGAUUCUGGUAAACAAAAUGUAGCCUCUAAUGGGCUGGACACCUCUAAGAGUUCUGAUGAUAAGGAAGGGAGAUGUGGUAAAAGGAGGAAGUUGGGUGAGGAAGAAUACCAGCUGAUGCAUGGUAUGACUGUUGCUGUUGCCUUUGUUGCAGAUGCCCUCAAGGCUCCUCAGCACAAUGAGGUCCAUGCAGAUCUUUAUGGUUGUGUCAUGUCCUGUCCUGGGUACUCACAGGAGGCCCUGAUGUUUGCACUUGUGUACUUGCUGAAGAACAAAGCAGAAGGCCUAUGCUUUGUUCAGAUGAGUGAAGCCCAUAGGAUCCUUUGGCUUAGGACCUACCUGAGCCAAUCCAACUUCCUCUAGGUGAUUAAGGACUGCCAUUUGAUAUUUUGCUUGCCUAUGCUAUAGUCUGACAUUUUGGGUUAGCACUAACCACUAAUGGUGAGGGUAGAGACACCAUUUGGAAUAUUUCCAAGGCUGCAAAUAUUUUUGUAUAGCAUAGGACACAUGGUUCCAUCUGGUAGAGGUGCUUGGGAGGGAUCUGUUGGGUGUGUAAACAUAAACACCUGCACCUGGUCUUUGUGAUGGAUGCCAUGUCUUUGUUCCGGUAAAUUAAGCUUUCCUGGUGGUUCAAUACCAGGUGAUGCCAUUUUUCUUUCAUCUUGCAUAUAUGUUCUGAAUUGAUGGAUGCAUAUGUUAUUAAAGGUAAGAACCUGUGCCUAUGAUGAUAAACUUAUUUGCCCAAUUCAAAGUAGAUGGGUACCAUCAGAUGACCUUGAGCUUGUGAGGGACUAUGACAUUGUUCUUGUUCUUAAGACCUGCUACUGCAUUUGUGCUACCUGGUAAGUCCAUCUUUCUUUCAUCUUUCUUAUAUGUUGGUUGCUUCCUCCUGCCUUGAUGGUUACUUAUGUUAUUUAAGGUAAGAAAAUAUGCCUAUGAUGAUUGGAAUAUUUGCCCAAUUCAAAGUAUAUGGGUAGCAUCAGAUGACCUUGAGCUUGUGAGGGACUAUGACAUUGAUCUUGUUCUUCUUGUUGCCAACUGGUACUGCAUGUUCCUUAUUUAUGGUUGUGUUGUUGUUGAGCUGUUGUCCAUGUUGUGCUGCUACUGUUAUUUCUAUUGGCAGUGCUGUUGUUCCUGUUGCCAUUGUGCUACUGUUUCUAGUCUUCUUUUGCUCUUGUGUCACUGAUGCUCCAAGCUCAAGGUCAAGGGAAGAUGAAAAUAAAAUCUGAGACCAUUUUUUUUAUAACUUAGCAUAUCAUACUUGCUUAGCAUAUCAGACUUGCUAUUAUCAUACAUAUACCUUUGCAAAUUGGAUAAUAUGCAAAUUGGGUAACCUGUCUUGGUUACCCAACAUUGUUGUUGUUGUUGAACCUAUCCCUGGUACUGCUUCGUCCUUCUUUCUGGUUGUGUUGUUGCUGAGAUGUUGUCCUGGUACUUGCUCUUUCUGUUGGUAGUGCUGUUGUUUCUGUUGCUAAUGUGGUACUGUUUCUGGUCUUCUUUUGCUCUUGUGUCACUGAUGCUCCUAGCUUAAGGUCAACAGAAGAUGGAAACAAAAUAUGAGGCCAACACUUAUUAUAUCACACUUGCUUGUAUCAUACAUCUACCUUUGCAAAUUGGGUAACCUGUCAUGGUUAUGUCAUAUUAUUUUUGUUGUCGACCUCCCUGCUUGUUCCUUUUUUCUGGUUGUGCUGUUGCUAAGCUGUUGUUCAUGUGCUGUUACUUGUCAUUCUGUUGCCAAUGACCUGCUGUUUCUAUUGCCAUUGUCAUACUAUUUGUGGUCUGGUAUUGAUCUAGUGUCACUGAUGUCCAAGCUUAAGGUUAAGAGAAGAUGCAAAUAAAAUCUGAGGCCAAUAGUUACUGUAUCCAUUUUUUUAUCAUACAUCUACCUUUGCAAUUGAAUCAAGUUUCAUUUUCUUUAUAAGGCACAAUGGCUUGGUACAUUGUGUACCGAGGUAGGAAGCCUGGAGUCUAUGCAACUUGGGUAACCUGUCAUCAGCAGGUCACCGGUUAUCCAAACUGUUGCUACAAGAGUUUUAGUUCCAAAGAGGAGGUAAUUGCAUCUUUCCUAGAGUCCACUGGUGACGAAGAUGUCAAAGAAGCGACUGUCGGUUCAAAAAAGACGGCAAAUGAACUUAGUUGGCUCCAUAUCAUAGUUAUGCUACAAUUUAUUGUUAUUAUUGUACUGCUACUAGUAAUUAAUUAUCUUUGGAAGUAGUCCAUCACGAUCAGCCUUUGUAAUAUCAAAACAGCUCAUGUUCAUCAUCUUUGUUGGUAACCUCACCAAUAUGGUGCUAGGGUGCUCCGAUCUCCUCCAAUUCUACGUACCAAACACGAUCUGGUGACUCCUGUCGUACACGAGAACGAUACAACCAGUACAACCAGACACAACCUCGCAUGAUUCAGGACAACAGCAAAGUGCAACUAAACAAACCCUCCUGUAUCGCUCUAUCCCGUCUCCCACCAUCUGGUACAACCCAUCCGUUCUGGACGGCCCGAUCCUUUGCAACCGAUCACGCCCAAAAUGUAUGGGUGGUAAAGGCCCAUCGAGGCGACUAGGAAAUUUAUGGGCUUUAUGCUGGUCGACGAAGGCUUGGCCCAGUUGAAAUCUGAACGACAUGUGCUUCGCGCACGCCUAGUUCUAGUUGUCUUCUCGGACGCGAAAAGCUCGAACUCGCCCCGGCGCCGCCGCCGCUGCCUCCUCCCUUCUCGAGUCGAGGCGGACUGAGGGUUUCGGAUGUGCGAGAGAGCUUGAGGAAAUUCGUCGGAGAGAAAGAUGAAUGAAGACUUCGGGAAUAAGGUGAGCUCCGACAUCCAUUCUUGAGCUUGAUUUUGAUUUUGGUUCGAUUUCUUGUCGGGGAACCCUAAUUUCCUCCCUUUCAUUGGAAAUGGGAAUGCAUUUCAGGGCAAGGGCGGAGCCAUUGUAGGGUCGUAAUCCGACUCGUUGUUCGGAAAUUGGUGUUGCCGGCUCUUGCUUGGCGGUAAUGGCGGAUUCCUCGAGGCCGCCAGAGCAGCGGUGCGCGCCCCUCGCCAUCGCCAACCUCCCAAAAGAGAUCCUCUUGGAGAUUCUGCUCCUGCUGCCGCCGAAAUCUAUCCUCCGGUGCCGUGCCGUCUGCAAGGCCUGGCGCGCUGUCACCUCCGACCGCGCCUUCCUGCUCGCGCACCACCGCCGCCAGCCGCCCCGGCGCCUCUUCACCUUCGUCCGCGACGUGGGCGGCAACAACCACGACCUGGGGAUCUUGGACUACUGCGUCGAGGCUAUCGACUUCCGCACCCACGAGUUCCUGUCCGUUGUCUGGUUCACAGGCGAAGAUUACGACUUCUCGCUCGGAGACAGCCCGUUCGUAGUUCACGCUGCUUGCAGUGGUCUCCUGCUUAUGUCAUACAACAAAUGUUUGCAUCUCUGCAAUCCCACCACUCGUCAGUGGCUAUUGUCUUCCCACCAGCCCUUCAACAUGACAAGGUCGUGGGGCUCUAUGCUCAUGGCAAUUCCUCCGAGUACAGAGUAUUGUACUAUCGAGCAAUGGGUGAUUUGGCACCUAAAUUUUACAUCAGUACCGUGGGCUCAGGGAAGGAGAAGUGCAUUUGGCCCCAUUCACCGUCAGCAUCCCUGAUAGUGUGGUUGGCGAAAGGGUCCGAGGGUACUGCAUUCAACGAGCCUUUCCUCUUUCAUGGAAACCUGCACUGGCUGCCGCAUUUAGGCCGGCAUGACAAGAUAGUGAUGUUCGACACGGUGAAUGAGGUGUUUCAGUGGUUGCAAUUACCUUUCAAGAUGUGCAAUGUUGUGUCAUUGCUUGAGAUUGAGGGCAAGCGGAGAACCAAACAAACAGGCGGACAACCAAACAUUAUCUUUGAAUGGCUUGGCUCAUUGCAGCUAACCAAACAAACUCCCUUGCAUCUAGUUUUUCAAAUUUCAAGUACAUGCGGACAACAAACAUUAUCUUUGAAUGGCUUGGCUCAUUGCAUACAGGCAACCAAACACUACACCUUGCAUGCACCCGACCUCGCUCUAGGGAGCUGACUGGCUGGUGCGAGCUAGGCUAGACUCCUCCAGGCAACUAAAGAGGCUCUAAGUGUACCCAGACCAAUCAGAAUAGGUGUUUGGUUGCCCAACUACAUGCAUGCAUCCAGAGUGCUUCAGCCAGGCACGAGGUCUUCGCCAGCCAGGCUCAGUGGAACGGAAAUAAAAUCCGUAUUUGACGAGCUAGGCGGGACGACAUGAUUUGCAUCCGACGAACCAGGCUCAGAUGCCAUACAAGCGAAUUGUGCAUGUGACGAGCCAGGCCAAACCAUGGGCCUCGUUUGGUUCACGUUGCUUAUUUUUAGCAGCUGUCACAUCAAAUGUUUAGAUACUAAUUAGGAGUAUUAAAUAUAGACUAUCUACAACCCAUUGCACUAAUGGAGGCUAAACGGCGAGACGAAUCUAUUAAACCUAAUUAGUCCAUGAUUUGACAAUGUGUUGCUAUAGUAAACAUUUGCUAAUGAUCGAUUAAUUAGGCUUAAUAGAUUUGUCUCACCGUUUAGCCUCCAUCUGUGCAAUUAGUUUUAUAAUUAACUCAUAUUUAGUCCUACUAAUUAGCCUCCGAAUAUUCAACGUGACACGGACUAAAUUUUUUCAGUGUACCAUUCCGACGGUGCAUCAAUUUUAUUCACACAAGUGACUGUUUUGAGAUGGCAACUCAGAGAAAGCAGCAUACUUGGUCUUAGAAAAAAGAUACGCCAGUGCUUGAAAUGGAGGGCAAGCUUGCCGUAUUUAGCUGUGAUGAAGAUGUCAGAGUGGCUGAAAUAUGGCUUCUGCAGGAUCACAAGAACCAGAUGUGGGCCUGCAAAUACCACAUCGAAUUGCCAGCUUUGGAUAUCAGCACCUUGCCAGACCUGGAUAGUGGGUACAUUCAGGAAGUCGGAAGGAAGAGUUGCGAUGGUCGUCCCCCAGCAGAGCUGCAGAGGCUGUUACUGUCUGACAUGAAUGGGUAUUUGCAGGUGAGGUUUCGCUGGGAUGGAAGCCUUCUCAAGAUUACUCCAGCCUUGUUCGGCAUGCAUUCUUUGAGACACAGGACAAUGUGAACUACGUGAAGAUGAAUCACCACCUAUCGUCCGGAGGCUGUAAGCUGUGGUGGUCCUUCUAUGGUCCUGUGUUGCAGAUCAGUGGUUCAAAGCUUUACAGUUUAUAUAUACAACCUCGAAAAACAAGCUUUAGUGAGCUAGCUUUUCCUAUGCAUCUCCUUUUUGUUCAGCGAGAUCACUAUGUUUGUCUUGUCAAUGUAGGGAAAACUGUACAUUCUGGUUCCCAGAUCUCAUUAGUUGGCCACAGUUGGUAAAUGUUACAACACUAUUUUGUUGCAAUUUGCAUUUCUCCUGAACAUGAAUGUGAAAUGGUCAGCAGGCACUCCUAGCGAUAAUAGCGCCUGGCUGUGGUGUUGGUUAUUCAACUUGUUUUCCAUUUAGCUGUUCUGCUAUUGCAUCAAGAUGUUCUGUUCUCCAGAAUUUAGAAUGUUUGCUUGAUAUACAUUAGAAUUGCAAAAACCCGCCUGUUUGCUGAGACCUGGAGCUGAAGAACCGGCUCUGACAUAUGAAGAAUUCCUAGGCUACUCAAAUAGCACAUUUAUUCCUUCUGUUAAUUUAACUGCUUAUCUGUUGCUGAGACAUUGCCUAUAGCUGUGAAAUGUGGUAUGCUAUUUCUUUUUUUACUUCUUAGAUUUUUUUGAAGUCAGAUUUCAAUGCUCACUGUGCCUAAAACCAGAAAGUGGCAGGUAUGAAAAAGCUUUAUAUGGAAAAUGGUAUGCUGGGUUAUCCUAAUUAUGUCUAUCUCAAUGCAGUUCACCCACAGAUUUUUCAUUUAAAAAAAGUUCAUCCAUCGUAUUUGUGUAACUGUAGUCCAUAAGCGUCAUUCCAUGUACCUUAAGCAUCAACUGCAUAAGACUAGUUUCUAUGUCAUACAUUACUGAAUGUGUACCGUUCGCAACGCUAUCUCUGAUUGGUAUUUAUUGUUAUAUAAACGUUCUGCACUUUCCCGGUUCUGGUUUCUUUGAUUUAUUUUGUUAUGAAAAGUCUGCAUUUUCAUGCGUUUUGCGGAAUGCUCUGUUUGACGAUGUCCUGAACACGCAAUGCUACACUGCAAGCAUGCCAUAUGCUCCUUUUACAAGUGUUUGAUUUCUGGGACUCCAAAUUUCUCCACAGCUUGACAGCUAUGGCUCAGGAAAACUUGCAAUACUAGGUGGUGUUGACAAAUGAGACAUAUUGAUAUGUGAGCCUGUGACUAUGUCUGAAGUCUGAAUAUUUGGUGAUGACCUUGACCGCCUAGUUUGGUUGGGCACUCUGUGCCUGGAGAUGCAAAAUACGUCAAUUGGUAGCAGGAUUUUAGUGUUCAGUGUGGAUAUCUUAUCCUGAAUGGCUGACCUGUCAUGCUGCAAAAGCUAAUCAGCCAAAGCUUCAGCAUACCUCGUUCAGCGGCUCUAGUAUAUCAUUGUUUGAUUUGAGAUCUGCUAGAUAUAAGGUACCUAAGAAUUUUACACAUCUCAAGGACUCCAAAUUUUCAAAAGAAAUUGGGGAGGUUUGAUUCAGGAAACCGCAGCCUACUUCUUUUUAAAGAAAAAUAAUCCACAACCUACUUCUGACCCAAACAAAACAUCUGUGGCACAAAUAAAACAUCUCCAGCCCAACCUUGAUGGCCGAUAACGAAUCAUUCUUGAUGGCCGAUAACGAAUCACCUAAGCCCAUACAAUGAUACAACCACUCUAGAAGGCAAGAUUCCCACAUCCGGAAGGGAUCCCAAUCUCGUAAAUAGGCGCGAAUUCCGGUGGCGAAGCCCGGAGCGGGCGCUCGAAAAUAUCUCGCCUCGGCAACGAGCUCUGGAACCUUCACUGGCCCCAACCCCCGACGACCAAAAACACACUCCCUCUCUAUUUAGAGAGUGAUAUUUUUCUCACGCCCCCACCCCCCGCGAAUAAAAACUUUUCCAGCGUCCCUUUGAAUCCAUCCACCCAUCGCUCGUCUCCCUCCCGAAUUCGAUGCCUUUGUAGCGCUGCCGCGUCGCCCCGCGCCGUCCGCCUGCUGCUGCGCCUUCCCAUGGACGCCGGAGCCGGGGCCGGAUCCGGCAAUGCCUCCGGCGGCGGCGGCGGCGGCGCCGGCGCGUCCGCGUGCUGCUACUACGCCCUGCUCGGCAUCCGCAAGAACGCCUCCGCCACCGACAUCCGCACCGCCUACCGGAGGCUCGCGAUGGUGAGUUCCCCGUCCCCUGUGCAUGCGCGCGAGCGCGCCGCCGGUGAUUGAUUGGGCUUUCCGUCUCUGUUUUGGUUUCCCGAACAGACACGCUGACCCGUUCCGAUCUCUUGCCGUGGGCGCGCAGAAGUGGCACCCGGACCGGUGGGCGAGCGACCCCGGCGCGGCCGGCGAGGCCAAGCGGCGGUUCCAGCGGAUCCAGGAGGCCUAUUCCGGUAAGGCCGCACACGUUUGCUCUGCCCCGCCGCGGCUUGGCUGCACGGGAUUUGAUCGAAUUGUUCGUUUGGCGCAGUCUUGUCGGACAAGGGGAAGAAGGCCAUGUACGACGCCGGGCUCUUCGAUCCCCUGGACGACGACGACCAGGUGAAGCAGCCAAGCCUCUCUGUUCCGUUUCUUUUCUUCCCUCUUGCCUAUUGUCUCGUCGGAAUCAUUCAAUUCCCUUUGCCAUUUUGUGUGCGAAACUGCGAAUAUUUUGUACUAUACACCUGAAAAGAAAAUAAAUUGCCUGCUCUGUUUUUGAACGGCCAGGAUUUCUCCGACUUCAUGCAGGAGAUGCUGGUGAUGAUGGAUAACGUGAAAAACGAGGUAGGCGCAACUACCAACCGCUAGGAUUAACUAAUCGUAAUCCCAAUCGCAAUUGCAAUUGUGCUCUGUUACACGCGCUUUCUCACCGAUGAUGAUGCCCUCUCUCUCUCCCCCUCCCGGCGGCUCCGUGCAGAAGCCGGACACGCUGGAGGACCUGCAGAAGAUGCUGGAGGACAUCGUGAAGGGCGACGAGGGGAGCCGCGGCGGCGGCGUAGGCGUGGGCGGGCGCGUGCCGCCGGACGGGGCGCGGCGGGCGCGCGUCGCGCCGUGCCCGCAGCAGCAGCGCAGGUGACCGGCGCGCCGGUGUACGAGAUGUACACGCGAGCCGACCAGAGGGAAAGAUCAGCCAGCGAAGCAACGGGAAGCUCUGGAAAAGAAGAAAGGAAGAAUAAAAAUGGAUUGCGAAGUCGGUGCCAUCUGAUGAGGACUGACGGUAGCAGUCGAUUGUGUGGGAUUGGGCCUGCUGGGGGUCGGGCGCCGCUCGAUUCCGGCCGCGCCGCCGCCGCAAGAAGAAACUGGCGGACGCGUGGCCGGGGACUCCGAUUGUUAUCUCGUCCACAUUUCGUGCCCCAAUUGUCACUGGAAUUCUUUAACUCUUCUUUUACUACUCUUUUCGCAUCGCGUUCCAUUCCACUCAGCAGUGUGCUGUCAUCCUUGUUACGUGUCGUGUGCUACCGUCUCCGGUGAAUUCUCGGAUUCGUUAAUGGGCACCGGCGCCGACCUGCUGGCAACGCUGGCGUCUUCCGGUAAACUAGAAAGGAGCCCUCGUGCCUGACGCUCUUGUGAUCUUGUCCUGUGCGGGACAGCCGGCGUGGCUCCAACUGUUCCCGUGUCACUUGUGCCAGCAUUGCUCCGUGGUGCACAAGUAUGGCGCUGGGUGAUGCUUCUAGUUUUGGCCAAGGAUUUACUAUGCAGUUGGAACGCUCACUUGUACCCUACCCUUCAUGUGCCAUUGCAACGUCGGGGAUCCGCGGCUUGUUUGGGCACGCACGUCGGCGUCAAGAUCAGCGGCGAUGGGUACGGCCGGCGUUCUGGAGCCCACCUGGAUCCGCAGCGCGUACGAACGAAAGCGAAGCGGCUCUGCAGCCUGUAGUGAGUAGUGUUUGGUGCUAGGAAAAUCGCCUGGUUGCGCAGCGCCAUCCAUCAUCAGGGCCACUUGCGCCUGCCCUUUUCCUCUCCAAGUUGCCGGGAGAGCGGCCAGGCCAGGUCGUCGUCUGGACCAGAGGAUUUUUCUCCACCCACCGUUGAUCGCUGGGCGUGGAGGGCUCGAGUCCGGAGUGUUCGGUGCUAGGCAUUUCACCCGAUCGAGCAGCGCGGGUUGUGGUGGCGAGAGCGGCCAUGGAGGACUAGAGGAGGGGCGGGCGCCGUGGUCCAGAGACCAGAGAAAAGUCUUCACGAAUGGAGGAGAGGGAUGCGCUCUUGGUCCCUGUCCGCUUCCGAAAGCGAAGGAGCAGGCGAAGGGCCCUGUCCGCUUCCGAAAGCGAAGGAGCAGGCGAAGGGUUACGGUCCGGCCACCUGACUCUGGCUCGAGAUAGUUCCUUCUUUCUUACCCCGACAGCUCGGCUGGCUACGAGGCCAAUUCUUGAAUCCGUUAACCUCAUGGCUCAUGCGGUGCCGCGACAAGGUCACGGACGUCGAGAAGACGAGAACGCGGUCUCAGGCUUUGUUUAUUGAGUGGUGUGACACCAGUGCUUUCCUUCCUGAAGUAUCCGUGUACGUGAGAGAAAAAUAUCUGCUCGGCUGGAACAGUCCGGCCGGCACUGGCCUCACACUGAAUGACCGGACCGAAAGAAACAGGGGAUCCGGAGUUGUAUUCCACCCUCUCUAUGGUCCUGUUUAGUUUCUCCUAAAAUACCAACUUUAACACUAUGAAAAAGAAAAUUUCCCAUCACAUCAAACUUACGGUACAUGCAUGAAGUGCUGAAUGUAGAUGAAAUCAAAAACUAAUUGCACAAUUUUAUUGUACUUUGCGAGAUGAAUUUUUUUGAGCCUAAUUAGUUAAUAUUUGGAUAAUAAUUCACCAAUACAAACGAAAUGCUACCGUUGCGCUAUAGUAAUUUUGGUUGUCCAAAGUUGGACACUGAACGAGGCCUGUUUUGGCGUCAUCAUAGUCCGAUUUGGUAAAUUCGGGUCGAUCCUCCUGCCCUUGUCCGCCAGCGGCAAGUUGCGCCGUCGCCGAGAUGCUGAUGCCACCGGAGCCGCCGCCGCCGUCUGCUGCCUCUCGAAUCCGCAUGGCUCUCCCUUGACGUCGAUCUACUCCGUUCCGUAACAGCAGCUGACGUGUGAUGCGUGCCGUAUAUACGUCGCACUUGGGUUCUACUGCAAUUUUUGCCAAGCAUCUAUCCAACUUUUGGGGGAAAUUGACGCGCCCGAUUUUGCAAGCCGAGCCCGCCUGACGUUGCUAUCCAUGCGCGAUCCACCUCGCGCGCUUUACUAUUUUUCUGCUCAGUUUUGUGGUGUGCGCCUGUUGUUUCCGCCAGGGCCACCGAUUGUCGGGUGCUCAUCAGUGUGCCGCUCAAAGCAAUUCUUCGGUUCAGGAGGGGAUUUGCACCAUUGAUCCAUGGGUCAGAUAUCCCCCGCGAACUCAUUUGAAAGAGGACAAUAUUGGAACUUGGACGAGGAACUUCCAGAAAUAAUGUGUCUGAAACUGCGGGUGCCCGUCAUUAUUCGAGAGAUGCCCUUCGACUCCCCUAAGUAACUUAGGGGGUGUUUGGAUACCUCGUGCUAAAGUUUAACACCUGUCACAUGGGAUGUUUGGAUGCUAAUUAAGAGUAUUAAAUAUAGGUUAAUUACAAAACUAAUUACACAGAUGGAGUCUAAUUCGCGAGACGAAUCUAUUAAACCUAAUUAGUUCAUGAUUUGACAAUGUGGUGCUACAGUGACCAUUUGCUAAUGAUGAAUUAAUUAGGCUUAAUAGAUUCGGCUCGUGAAUUAGCAUAGGGGUUCUGCAAUUAGUUUUAUAAUUAGCUCAUGUUUAGUCCUCCUAAUUAGCAUCCGAACAUAUGAUGUGAUACUGCUAAAGUUUAGCACCAAGUAUCCAAACACCCCCUUAUUGACUUUGUCCACUUAACCCUAAACUAUUUUAUUUGAUCCAAUCUACCUCUAAUUAGAUUUCUCUUUUUUUUCUUCGCGUAUAAAUUGAAUUUUAAUUUCAAUUUUAUCAGUUGGUUUAUAACAUGAUGCUCUAUGUUAGAAAAAUACAAUAGAAUUUUUCAUGAUUACUUUUCGUACAAUUUUAUAUAUUUAAGAUCAAUUUCAUAUUAAAUAUUCCUAACCUAUGAAAAUAACCAUAAAAAAUUUUUAGUAUAAUUUUCUAACCUAAGGCAUCAUGUUUGGUUUAUGCUCACAAAAUUUGAACUCAAAAUUCAACUCAUACACGAAGAAAUAAAAAAGAGAAAUCUAGUUAGGGGUAGAUUGGACCAAAUAAAAUAGUUCAGGAAAGUAAAAUGAGCCAAAACUUUGUUCGGGGUUAAGUGGACAAAGUGGAUAGGUGAGGGGAGUAAAAUGAACUGCUCCCCACCCUGUCGCAAAGCAUACACUGUGGUACCCAUCGUUAUUCGAUAGUAGAUGGGAAGAAUUAUGUGAAAACCAAUAAAAGAAAAAAGGAACGGUAAUGCUUCGAGUCGUGCGUCCAACACGAGCGCGAGUCGUUGGACGGUUAUACCGUGGAGGCCCAGCUGCCCUGCCUACCUACACGUCCACACUUGUGGCUAAUUAUUUUCAAGCGACGUGGCCUUUCUCCCAUCCACAAGACUACCCAACACCAGGCGUUUUUAUCCAUUCAGCAGGUUUCUUCCCAUCCUCUUCGCAAGUAUCACCAUGGAGGUAUGGAGGUCAUAGCAGUCCACCUCCCUGGCUCCCUUCCCCUCUCCCUCCUUGAUGUGCCAAGUCAAGGUCCGGCGACUCCGCAGCCUAUCCAUGGCCGGCUGACCGCCCCAUUGCCUCCGACGGGCAGCAGGAGAUCCGAGGCGGUGGUGCGCGAGGCCGGCAGAGGGCGAGGCUGGCGGCAAGAAAUCCGGGGCGGCGAGCCCCGCACGAGUGGCGGCGUGCGAGGCCAGCGGUGCACGAGGCGAACUUUGCGCUCUCAACUCCUUGUUGCAUUAGGUACCCCCAUGAUGUUGCAGUAGAAUUUUUUGGAUGUUGCUGUUGGCGCUAGAAAUUGGUCAACCGAAUCCCCAGCGUCUGACACACGACCCGGGAGAAUCUGCUUAACUCCUGUUCGGGUGAUUGCCCUGGUGCGGUUCGCGCGGCGUGCCAGCCAAUCUGACCUGUUGAUUGGCAAGGAAGGAUACGUGUCAGAUCCAGAAGUCGCGAUCGGCUAGAUUUCCGAUCUCAAGAAAGCUUAUCAGCGAAUCGGCCGAUUUGCCGUGAUAAAGAAAUCGGCUAUGAAGCAGCCGAUUACUGUAGCAGUGUGGAUAGAAAACUACUGGAGUAAUCGACACAAUGCUAUAGUAACAACACCAGGAAUAGAUCUAAUCGGCUAUGUAUAAAAUAAGUAAAUUAAAUAUCAAAGUAUAAGGAAAGCCGAGACUGCCGAUUCCUAGCUGGAUAACUGGUGAUAAAACUAGAAAAAACAGGCAAAACCUAUGAUUCUAGUAAAUAUCGAUAACUAGUGAAUAAAUCUAAACGAAACGACAGCGAUGCGCCCGAAGUUAAAGCUUAGAAUUUACUCGGUAAACGGAACUUACAAGAUCGGCCGGAGGUCAAGUUGAUGCAGCCCCGCCAACCCGUACGAACUCGUGAAAAAAGAAGAAAGUAUUUGGCGAAGUCGCCUGCUUGAAAGUAAGUACGAGGAAAUAGUAAUUGGUUGUAUUGAUUUGUUGAUGAUUACAGAUCUACAAAGGUAGCUAUUUAUAGCCCCGUACAGAUGACUCCUUAUCUGACUAGAACUCUAUCCCUAAUUCAAAUAGAAAACGAAUAUUUGCAAGUACGAUUCGUACUAGGUUGGUUAUUAUACGCUUCACGGGCUGAUCUCUCCUUCAUCCUUCUAUUCCUUUCCAAGCCCGUACCGGCCCAAUUAUUCCAACCUUCUAAUCGGCCGAUUCCUCAUCGGCAAAAGGUAACCGAUCGGGAGCCUGGCGUGUCCGAUCCGAACCCCAAGGGUUAAGCGAGGCAGAAGUCAUCGGCCGAUCCCGUACUGUAGCAUUGGCCGAUCUUGGACUGUAGCGCCAACCAACCGAUCUCGAACUGUAGCGCCAUUCGACCGAUUUCCAACUGUACUUUCCCAUUUCCUCUUCUCCUGGCGCUGAUUUCACUUGUGACGAAAUCUAGCGUCAACAGUUGCAAAACGCUAUUUGUGUGGUAUAAAUAUUGCAACAGUUAGGUUUUGAUGUUUCAUGUUGCAACUUUUGUGUUUUAGUGUUUCACCGUGCUCAAGCUCAACCUAUCAUAUGGUUGAGCAUGAAACAGACGUUCAAUGUCGUGGCGGGAAUUUCUUUCCUUCAGAAUACGAUGUUCACAUUGCACUAUAUUUUUUACAUAUUUUUUAAAUAUUGGCUUAUAUUUUCGUUGUUGCGGAUAUUUAUGUUGGAUGUUGCAACGGAGUGUCCGAUGGAUAAUUCCCCAUCUGACGUCUGGGCGCUAGCAGCGUCGAAAAAAGAACCAAUAACACCGCUACUCAAUAUAAUCCUAAGCUCGGUGUACACAGAUAAAAAUUGAGAAAAAUAGUUAGAACGGAUAAAUAUUACUAUACUUUCGAGUUUAAUUUUGUCUCGUUACACAUCACAUUUUACAUCGAGUUGAAUUUUUGCAGGAUACAUAGUUUGAGCACAUCUCUUAUAGAAUGUAUGCCUUUUCUGUUAUAAAUUGUAACUGGUGUUUUACUAGUAGUACUCGCACAGCGAAAUUGUACCAUGUGCGCUGUUUAAGAAAAUCAAAUAUCGAAUGAGUAGUACGAAUAAUGCCUUUUCCGAUUUAUGGGCCUCACCCUAACCAAUCUCCAAGCCCAGUGAGGCCAUUUGCUGCUAGCCGGGCCAGGCUACGUGAGGCAUUCUUAGAUAUCCUUCCGCUAAAAACUGGCUAAAAUGUGAGAACUCGCAUUGUUCGCGUCGUGUGGCUCUUCCUCAACCUUGGCGGAAGCAGUUGGCUGCCUCAAGGUAUUGGAGACAGUAGAAUUGUAUGGCAUCUCCCAUGUGCAGCUGGAGGUUGACUCAAGUGUUCUAAAGGAAGCUAUUACAUGUGAUGCUCAUGAUCGUGCCCACUGUGGAGUGAUUUUCAGGGAUAUUCGAAACAUGUUAGCUAAUGAGUUUGUGUGUUUAGCUGUUUCUCUUAUUCCACGUUGUACUAACUCGUCUGCGCACGAGCUUGCAAGAUUGGGUUUACUUUGGGGUUCGGAGCAAUCAUGCAUAUGGACUGAUCCUCUUUCCGAUUCUGUAAAUGUGCAAGUGAUCCGCGAUUUAGCGGAAUCUGGUGAUGGUAAUGAAAGGCCGUAGAGACACCCAAGCUUUCCAAAAAAAAAAAACCCUUGGCUUCUUGCCAGAUACGAAGCCGAUGCACAACCAUCCUCUUCGCCCUAUGGCCCUAUCCUAACUGAUGCUGCCUUAUAUUAGAAGUCAUCUUCAUGCUCUUGUUGGGUAAUUAUUUAGCUCUUGAUUUUCUCUUCUCUUCUGAUUGUGCUUUUGCUGAAAGUCAAUGGAGCAGGUGAGCUCCUGCUUGCCGUGUAUGGUAGAGAUGGCAUGAGUAGAUGGGCAGUAUGCCCUGCCAUGUAUAGUACUAAUAGUAGGUAGAAUAGUUGGUAGUUCUACUCAUUGUAUUUUGUACUCUAAGUUGACUAUUGGUGCUAUAUAGUAGAGGAGCAGCUGCAGCUCCAAGAUUCAGUUCAGCAGCAACAAUUGAGUGUGUAUGUGUGUGUGAGAGAGAGCUGUGCUCUCAUCUUCAACCUCUAGACUUGUGUGUGAGUGUGCUGCGUGAGGGAUGAGCUCAGGGAACUUACCUGCCGCCGGCCAACAAGUGGCAUCAGAGCUGCGUCCUGAAGGAUCCAGGGCGGCCGGGGCAGAGAGAGGAAGGGGAAGAGGGCGCCGGCCAGCCUCCGUUGGGUGCCGGGUGUCUCUGUCACCGGGACGUCGUGGGGCGACGUUCGUGGUGAAGAAGACGGUGCGCAACAUCGGCGGCGCCCAGUUCCCCAUCCUCACCGCAGCAACUAUGCGGAGUGGGAGGUGAUGAUGAAGGCCAGGGGCCUUUAGCAGGCGGUGAGCGUCGACACUGACGAUGAGCAAGAGGACCAGAUAGUGAUGGAGGUGAUCCUGAAGGGUGUCCCGUCAGAGUUCUCCGUUGCGCUGGGCUCCAAGGAGAUGGCCAAGGAGGCGUGGGAAAGCUUGAAGACGAUGCGGCUUGGCAACAACCGCGUCCGUAAGGCGAAGGCGCAGCAGCUCCGCCAGGAGUACGAGGCCAUCACCUUCCCCGACGGCGAGGCGGUGGAGGAUUUCGCGCUGCGCCUCACCAUAAUGGUCAGCCAAUUGGUGUCGUUGGGCGACCCCAUCACCGAAAAGGAGGUCGUUGCCAAGUUCCUCCGCGUCUUCCCGUCUCGCCUCGCCCAAAUUGCGAUGUCCAUCGAGACUCUGCUCGAGAUGAGCGAGCUCACCAACAAGGACAUCGCUGGGCGAUUGAAGGCGGUGGAGGACCGCGCCGUGGACGCGGCAUCGCACGCGCCCACCGGCGGCCAGCUGCUGCUCACAGAGGAGCAGUGGGCGGUGCAAGCGCGGGAUAGAAAGACAGGGGAAGGACCCUCUGUCACGAGCGGAGGCGGCUCAGGAGGAAGCGGAAGGGGGCGCAGCAAAAUGAGAAGGAGGCGCGGUGGCGGUAGUGCUAGCGGUGGCGGUAGCGCUGGCGGCGGCGGGCGAGCCUCUACCAAGGACAAAUUGUGGCAAGACCGGGCAUUGGGCCUGGGACUGCAAAGCGUUGCACCGCCAGGAGCAGGCGCACCCCACACAAGGCGAGGACGACAAGCCCGUGCUCCUGAUGGCGCAGGUCUGCGCCCUCAACGAUGCUGAUGGGGAGGAAGACGCGCUGCGCCUGCGCACUCAAGUGCGGCUAGACGAACCUCAAACGCAGGUUCAUCUCGGAGAGGAGAAUGGCGGCGAAGGAGAAGAGAGGCAGCUAUGGUACCUAGACUCCAGCACUAGCAACCACAUGGCGGGCGACGGCGCGGUCUUCACCGAGCUGGACAGAGGCGUCGUCGGGACAUUGAAGUUUGGUGACAGCUCACGUGUGGACAUCUAGGGGUGCAGCACGGUCAUCUUCAAGUGCCAGAACGGCGAGCAUCGCGCCCUCACCGAUUUCUACUUCAUCCCCCGCCUGUGCAGCAACAUCAUCAGUAUUGGCCAGCUCAAUGAGCGAGGCUGCCAAGUACUUAUUGAUGGCGGGGUGCUCCGAAUCCGCGACCGUGACCACCACCUCCUCGCCAAGGUGAAGACAAGCUACAACCGGCUCUACACGCUGGACCUGAAGAUUGGGCGGCCGGUCUGCCUGGCAGCGCACCACGACGACGAGGCAUGGCUCUGGCACGCCCGCUUCGAGCAUUUGAGUUUUGAUGCACUGGCGUAGUUGGCAUGCCAGGAGAUAGCUUGCGGCCUCCCCAAGAUUGAUCACGCCAGUGAGCUUUGCGACAGCUGUCUGGCCGGGAAACAGAGGAGGAGCUCCUUCCCCAAGACUGCCAAUUUUCACACCGACGACCUUCUACAGCUGGUCCAUGGGGACCUCUGAGGACCAAUUUUGCCAGCGACGUACGGCGGGCGGCGCUACUUCCUGCUCCUAGUGGAUGAUUGCAGCCGCUACAUGUGGCUCCAUCUCCUGGUGAGCAAGGACGAGGCGGCGACAGCAAUCCGACACUUCAAGGCGCAAGUGGAAGGAGAAUUCGGGAAGAAGCUUCAGGUGUUGAGGACCGACCGCGGCGGCGAGUUCAACUCCAUCAAAUUCGGCCUCUACUGCGUGGAACAGGGCAUCCAACGCCAUCUCACCGCGCCAUACUCUGCGCAACAGAAUGACAUGGUGGAGAGGCGGAACCAGACCAUCGUGGGGAAGGCGCGGAGCAUGGUCAAGGCGAAGAAGCUGCCGACGGCAUUCUAGGGUGAGGCGGUGAGCACGGCGGUGUUCAUCUUGAAUCGCUUGUCGAUGAAGAGCCUGAAGGGGAAGACGCCGUUUGAAGCAUGGCACGGAUGCAAGGCGGAUGUGCCCUUCCUUCGAACCUUCGGUUGCGUUGGCCAUGUGAAGGAGACGAGGCUCAGGCUGAAGAAGUUGGACGACAGGAGCAAGCCCAUGGUGUUCCUGGGCUAUGAGCUGGGGAGCAAGGCCUACAGGUUGUUUGAUCCGCAAUCCCGACGGGUGGUGGUCUUCAAUGAAGCGGCCAGUUGGGACUGGGAAUCCGGCGGUGAAGGGGGAGAAGUGGGUGGCGGCAGCCACUUCACCAUCGAGCUCAAGGAGCAUCACACCAGAGAAGAAGGAGUGGCAGCGGAAGAGAAAGGAGGAGCGUCCCCUGUUCCGGGAGCAGGGGAAGUUACAACUCCGCCUUCCCCAGCGGGAGGAUCCCCUGUUCCAGGAGCAGGGGAAGCUGCGGGCGGAGCAGAAGAGCAGGCGGAAGGAGGCGGCACACCGGUGACACCAGCCAAGGGGGUGUAGUACGUCACGCCACCACCCGUGAUCUCUCCACACCUCAAUGCCAGCUACGAUGGGAAGCUGCUCCGGUUCCGCUCCCUGGACGACUACAUCGGCGGCACAGAGAUUCCCGGCUUGGCAGCGCGCGAGCUGGGAGAACAAGAGCUGCAUUCGGGCAGCGCGGAGGAGCCGGCCACGUUCAAGGAGGCAAAGUAGGACCCUCGGUGGCGGCGAGCGAUGGUUGAGGAGAUGGCCUCAAUCGAGGAGAACCAGACGUGGGCGCUCGUCGAUCCGCUGGCCGGUCGGUCGAUUGGGCUCAAGUGGGUGUUCAAAGUCAAGCACGACAAGUAGGGCAACGUCGUGAAGCACAAGGCGAGGCUGGUGGCCAAAGGAUUCGUGCAGCACGAGGGAAUCGACUUCGAGGAAGUGUUUGCUCUAGGGGCGCGCAUGGAGUCUGUGCGCCUGUUGCUGGCUCUGGCGGCGACACGGAACUGGGAGGUCCAUCACAUGGAUGUGAAAUCCAUGUUCCUCAACGGCGAGUUGCGAGAAGAAGUAUAUGUGCAGCAGCCGCCGAGGUUCAUCGUCGUCGGAGAAGAAGGAAAGGUCCUCCGCUUGCGCAAGGCGCUCUACGGGCUACGACAGACGUUGCGUGCUUGGAACAUCAAGCUGGUCGAGAGCCUGGCGGGCCUCCGCAUCACCAAAUGUGCCACCGAGCAUGCGCUCUACAUCAGGCGGACGGUGGGGAAGACACUGAUCGUCGGCUUGUACGUCGACGACCUGAUCAUCACCGGCCAGGAGAAGGAUGGCAUCGCCGCGUUCAAGGAAGAGAUGACGGCGAUGUUCCGGACGAGCGACUUGGGCCUGCUCAGCUACUACCUUGGCAUUGAGGUGGAGCAGAGCCAUGGCGCCAUCACUCUCCAGCAGAGCGCGUACGCGAAGAAGCUCCUGGAACGGAGCGGCAUGGCAGACUGCAAGCCGUGCCGGGCGCCCAUGGAAGAGAAGCUGAAGCUAUCAAAGGACAGCACCGCAGCGAAAGUCGAUGCCGGUACAGAAGCAUUGUGGGCAGGCUCAGGUACUUGACGCACACACGGCCGGACAUCACGUUCGUCGUGGGCUAUGUGAGCCGUUUCAUGGAAGACCUGCGAGAGGAUCACCUCGCCGCGGUCAAGCACCUCCACCACUACGUCGUCGAGACUACAGGGCUUGGGAUUGCCUAUCCUAAGCGAGGAGGAGAGCAGCUGGAGCUGAUUGGAUACAGCGACAACGACAUGGCGAGUGACAUCGAUGGCCCGCGCAGCACGACCGGGAUCAUCUUCUUCAUCGGGUCGUGCCUUGCCACCUGGCAGUCCCAGAAGUAGAAAGUGGUGGCUUAAAAUCUACCUACGAGGCAGAAUACAUAGCAGCCGCCACCGCAAGCUACCAAGGGGUCUGGCUGGGGAGGCUGCUGCGGGAGCUCACCGGCAAAGAGCUCCACGCGCCGGUCCUUCUGGUGGACAACAAGUCCGCCAUCGCAUUGGCGAAGAACCCCGUCCUCCACGACCGCAGCAAGCACAUUGACACCAAGUUCCAUUUCAUCCAUGACUGUGUCGAUGGAGGACGCAUUAGACUCGAGUUUGUUGAGACUUCUCAGCAGCUCGAGGACAUCGUCACCAAGCCACUGGGGCAUCUUCGGCUCCAGGAGUUGAGGAAGAAGAUAGGAAUCGAGAAGAUCAAGGAAGAGCUUCACAAUUAGGGAAAGGAUUGUUGGAUAAUUGUUUAGCUCUUGAUUUGCUCCUCUUUUGAUUGUGCUUUUGCUGAAAGUCUUGAUUUGCUCCUCUCUUUUUAUUGUGCUUUUGCUGAAAGUCAAUGGAGCAGGUGAGCUCCUGCCUGCCGUGUAUGGCAGAGAUAGCAUGAGUAGAUGGGCAGUAUGCCUGCCAUGUAUAGUACUAAUAGUAGGUUGCCAUGUAUAGUACUAAUAGUAGGUAGAAUAGUUGGUAGUUCUACUCAUAUUUUGUACUCUAAGUUGACUAUUGGUGCUAUAUAGUAGAGGAGCAGCUCCAAGAUUCAGUUCAGCAGCAACAAUUGAGUGUGUGUGUGUGAGCUGUGCUCUCAUCUUCAACCUCUAGACUUGUGUGUGAGUGUGAUGUGUGAGGGAUGAGCUCAGGGAGCUUACCUGCCGCCGGCCAACAGCUCUCAGUACCAAAGGAUGCAUGAUGGAUCUCUAAAUCACAGUUGCCAACAAAACGUUUCUCAUUCAUAGUAUUACAAGUUUUCGACGGAGGGCGGGGCAACCAAACAUGCCGAUCCCUGGCUGGAUAACAGGUUCUAACCAUGCACCACGAAACUCCAACAGCAGUGUCGAGUAAAUGAAUGAGUAGCAACACCCAGAAAGAGUUAGGAUUUUACAUUGGUUGUUAUUAUGUCAAAAAGGAAUGAUAAACCCGUUGCUCAAAUGGAAACUAAUUUCAUGGAAAGCGACAUCCUGGGAACCCUGAGCUCGAUGCUCUCAUUCUUCCGCUGGCCUUUGCCCCAGAACUGGUAUAUCUUCAUACCUU
rnacentral:lncRNA from 1 species